rnacentral:hammerhead_ribozyme from 1 species
AUCCAACUGACGAGUCUCAAAUAGGACGAAACGCACGUCUUGGAU